rnacentral:rRNA from 1 species
UACGUAGGGUGCAAGCAUUGUCCGGAAUUAUUGGGCGUAAAGAGCUCGUAGGCGGUUUGUCGCGUCUGCUGUGAAAACCCGAGGCUCAACCUCGGGCCUGCAGUGGGUACGGGCAGACUAGAGUGCGGUAGGGGAGAUUGGAAUUCCUGGUGUAGCGGUGGAAUGCGCAGAUAUCAGGAGGAACACCAAUGGCGAAGGCAGAUCUCUGGGCCGUAACUGACGCUGAGGAGCGAAAGCAUGGGGAGCGAACAGG